rnacentral:miRNA from 1 species
UUGAAGAAAGGUAGACAGAUAG